rnacentral:rRNA from 1 species
ACGCGCGGAACCUUACCUGGCCUUGACAUGCAUUGUGUCGUUGGUGAAAGCCAGCUAGUGUAGCAAUACACGCUUUGCACAGGUGCUGCAUGGCUGUCGUCAGCUCGUGUCGUGAGAUGUUGGGUUAAGUCCCCGCAACGAGCGCAACCCCUGUAGUCGUUGCACCGGUUUUACCGAGCAUCUUGGACUAGACUGCCCAGAUCAACUGGGAGGAAGGUGGGGAUGACGUCAAGUCCGUAUGGCCCUUACG